UACGUAGGGGGCAAGCGUUGUCCGGAAUCAUUGGGCGUAAAGGGCGCGUAGGUGGCCCCUCAAGCGUGCGGUGAAAGUCAGGGGCUCAACCCCUGAUCGGCCGUGCGAACUGGGGAGCUUGAGCACUGUAGAGGCAGGCGGAAUUCCGGGUGUAGCGGUGGAAUGCGUAGAGAUCCGGAAGAACACCGGUGGCGAAGGCGGCCUGCUGGGCAGUAGCUGACGCUGAUGCGCGACAGCGUGGGGAGCAAACAGG
rnacentral:rRNA from 1 species